rnacentral:rRNA from 1 species
CCAAUAGCGUAUAUUAAAGUUGUUGCAGUUAAAAAGCUCGUAGUUGAAUUUCGGGGUUAGUAGGUUGGUCAUGCCUCUGGUAUGUACUGGUCUCACUGAUUCCUCCUUCCUGAUGAACCUUAAUGCCAUUAAUUUGGUGUUUUGGGGAAUUUGGACUGUUACUUUGAAAAAAUUAGAGUGUUUAAAGCAAGCUAACGCUUGAAUACAUUAGCAUGGACUAAUGAAAUAGGACGUUCGAUCCUAUUUUGUUGGUUUCUAGGAUUGACGUAAUGAUUAAUAGGGAUAGUUGGGGGCAUUAGUAUUCAAUUGUCAGAGGUGAAAUUCUUGGAUUUAUUGAAGACUAACUACUGCGAAAGCAUUUGCCAAGGAUGUUUUCAUUAAUCAAGAACGAAAGUUAGGGGAUCGAAGACGAUCAGAUACCGUCGUAGUCUUAACCAUAAACUAUGCCGACAAGGGAUCGGAUGAUGUUAAUUUUUUAAUGACUCAUUCGGCGCCUUACG